UACAGAGCGGUUUGGACCUAUUUGGACCUGAUCUCCUGACCCUGUUUCUGUUUGCCUGGACUUUUAGCUGAGCCAAUAAACCUGCUGCAUUUGGAAUCAGUCGUCUGCCUGUAUCUUAUGACAACUGCUGUGUUUUACUGUUUUGCUUGUAUUCCAUGUUUUUAUGACAAUCCUUGUACUUUUUACCUUUAAUUAUUUUAACCUCUUUGUUUUUGAGGUUUUAUUGUAUGGCGCCUUGUUUGACUGCAGCUAUAUUAAGGCACCAUUGAAGUAAUUAAACUUGAACUUAAACGCUGAACCACUUCAUGAAUUGCUGGAGCAUUACAGGUACUGUUGUCAGGGGUCUUGCAGAUACUUACUGUUCUUCAACGGUUUGUGAAUGGAUUAAAUAAAGUUUGAUUUAGUUUAUUUUUUUUAACUUUACGACACACUAACCUUUUCCUUUACGUUAUUUUAUUAAAUGAAUUUUUUUUAUUUUUCUUUAAACCUAGAACCACGAUGGAGGGGAAUAGCCACAUGCGGCUCCGGAGUCGCAGAUUGCAGAUCUUUUAGAUUCCAAAUUAAAUUAAUUUAGAAUCCACUUGAAAGCAAAAACACACAUGAAAUGUUCUUUUUUUCAUAGCUGGAAAUAAACGUAGGCAUCAGGGGGUUAAUAAAAGAUUAAAAACAACAUGUAUGCACGAAUGCCACAUUGUGUGUCGAUUAGACUAUGUCAAACUGCAUUAUGUGAGAGUUGUGUUACAUAUUGAGACUCAAUAUGCUUUAACUGGAAAUGAACAUGUUUUCUCUACUUUAUUUUUAGUUCAUAGCUCUGAAAUACUGAAAAACUGAUCAAAAUGCAAACAAAAACACACAAUGAUUCAUAUUUUGUCAGUAUUGUGACCCAUGCCCACCGCUUAAUCCAAUACCAUGCAUGUAAAUGUUAGAGAUGUUUUGUGUUGAACAUGUUACGUCAUCCUUGCUUUUGUUAAGUUGUUUGGUUUCCUCUAAAAAAGAUGGGGAUGUAGGGCUGCAUUUUGCAGCAUAACUGCCUGAAACAUGCAGUCAUGUCUCUGUGCUUUUUUUUGCACAGCCAAAAACCAGUUCCUGCUUCGAGCCAGCAGCCAACAAGCAGUCGUCACGUUUCAGCCAAAGGCGGUGGCGCAGAAAUGAGUUUGCGCUGUCAACACACUGUCACUUUGAAGUGCAAUAGAUGAGCCAUUUCAUUCGUUCGCAUGCGCCCAGACGCAGGGACUUUGCACCAAACAAAGGCGUUGAACAGCUCUGUAAGGCUGCCUGUACUGAUUUAAAAUGCAGCUAUAAUCAAUAACAUCACGCGCGCGCAAACAGCUUGGAUGCACUUGACAUACAUACGCCGAAAAACCCGAAUAAGGAAGUUCGUCGACCCCUCAGACUCCGUCAGAAAAUCUCUAACAUGCUGCGCUGUGCGCCACAGCGGAAGAGCGCACCAGAACAAACCACAGAAAAGCUGCAACAGACAAACAGAAAACUGCAAGUGCGCGGAACCGAGCAGAGUUCACAAGUUUCACCUACCUAUCAGUUCUGCCACCGCGCUGAACGGCCAGGUGUGACUUGUGGAGUUGCUGUUCAGGAAGGAGGGACUCAUCUGGACAAAUCGGAACAAGGCCACCGCUCGGAGGGGAGCUGGGGGCCAGACCGCUAUGGAAUGGGGAAGCAACCUGAUCGGGCCUCCUGAACUUUAUAUUUUUCUUAUAUUCAUCGUAACAAUAAUAAAAAAGGUGCUCUGAUUUUAUUCUUGUUUUUAAUUCUGCCCUCUCGGGUUAACGUAACUAGGACAGCAAGCCUUCAAACUUGGUCAGAGAGAGAUGGAAACAGCGUGGAAACGUCCAUUUUUCAGACACAGCAGUGGGAGUGAAGAUCACUGUAGACUCUAAAUGAUCUUAAGAACCCAGACGUGGAGACAUGAAUAUCAAGGUGGCAAGCAAAGCGAAAGAGGGGCGGCUGAUCUCCCAUCACCACAAUCGACCAGCACAGCCACUACACAACGGCGGACACGCCAUCAAUCUGCCCGUCAAUCUCACGCUCCAAUUUUUCCUCAGUUGUGAACAAGACCCCAAGUUAUUUAAACGUUUCCAGCUUGGGCAGUAGCACUCCACCAACUAUGGUCGCAGACUUAGCAGUCGCAGACAUCCCAGCUUCAUACUUGGGCACAAACCUUCCAAAUGCAGGCCUGACUUACUGCCGGCUAAGCAAAGCAAGCUUCUGCUCUGGUCAUUAAUAGACCGGACAGCCCUCAGUGAGGCUCCCCGUAACCCAUACUCCCAAAACACCCUCCAGGAUACCACAGGGAUUGCGGUUGAAUGCUUUCUUCAAAUCCACAGAGCACAUAUGGAUUGGUUGAGCUAACUCCCACGAACCCUCCAGCACCCUAAAGAGGGUGUAGAGCUGCUGCACUGUUCGACCAUCAGACAAACUCUCUUCUUCAGAACUCUGGCAUAUACUUGCAGGGAGGAUAAGGAAUUUGAUUGCCUGAUAGUUGGAACACACCCUCCAGUGUUCAUUCUUAAAAAGGGGAACCACCAUCCCUGUCAAGACACUUCCACAGCAUCCCUGGCUUUAGGCACUCAGGGCGGGCUUCAUCCACUCCCACAGCUCCGAACAGCAGCAGAGAGAAUAGAGGUGGAGAACACAGUCCACUCUGACUCAAUGUCUCCAUCCUACCUGGGUGUCCAGGAAGUGGAAAUAACUUAUUGAUGUGCUUUUGUUGCAAUAGUUUGUAUUUUAUUGCACUUGAUUUCAAGCACUUUGAUUUGUAUAUGUUGACAUGAAAGGUGCUCUAACAAUUAAGUGGACAGACAUACAGACAAAGAUAGAAAUGCCACCAAACUAAAAUGGAUCUAAAAAAAAAGUUUAAAGGGAUCAUAACAAACAAUGCAGACACGCUGCAUCACCUUUUUGGAUCAACAGAUAAAAAUCUUAUACCAAAUCUUGA